GAAAGAUAGAUGUUUAAGAGAGCAACAGGACUGAAUAGCAAGAUACGAUUCUGCAAUAUACAUCAUAUACUUCCAUCAAAAUAAGCAUGCGAGGUUUACGAGAACAAACACAACUAAAUGACAAGAUAUGAUUCAGCACAUAUGCUGAAUAUAUUUCAUCAAACAAACUGAAAAUUAGAGGUUUAUAUAUUUCAUCAAACAAACUGAAAAUUAG
rnacentral:lncRNA from 1 species